rnacentral:tRNA from 1 species
GGUUGUGGCUCAGUGGUAGAGUGCUUGCCUAGCAUGCGUGGGGCACUGGGUUUGAUCCCUAGGACCU